ACACCUACGGGGGGCAGCAGUGAGGAAUAUUGGUCAAUGGGCGCAAGCCUGAACCAGCCAAGUCGCGUGAGGGAAGACGGCCCUACGGGUGGUAAACCUCUUUUGCCGGGGAGCAAGCCUGAGCACGUGUGCCCAGGCGGAGAGUACCCGGAGAAAAAGCAUCGGCUAACUCCGUGCCAGCAGCCGCGGUAAUACGGAGGAUGCGAGCGUUAUCCGGAUUUAUUGGGUUUAAAGGGUGCGCAGGCGGGCUGUUAAGCCGGCGGUAAAAAAUCAGGGCGCAACCCUGUCGAGCCGUCGGAAACAGG
rnacentral:rRNA from 1 species